AAAAUCAAACAAUAACAAUGAAAUAGGUCAAGAUCAUUAAAAAUAUUUUUGUAAAAUUUUGUGUAACGGUCAAUUGUUGAUGAGUUAAUGAUCCCUAAAGUGAAAGCGAAGACAUUUCAAAACAAAACCUAAAUAAGCAUAAGAUCCGUUAAGGCUAAAAUUACAGACUUGUAACUGACUAAUCAAUGGUUUCUUUUUUUGUGUAUUUCAAUAUUUUAAACAACAAUAAUAAAAUGAUGAAAUUGUGAAUAAAUUACAUUAAUAACAGUAAUGGUUAAGCUGAUUCUGGAAAAAUGAUCAUGUUGAUUUAUUGUUCAAUUUGUGCUAUAAAUGAGUCAAAGCCAUCAAAGGGUUGAUUUUUCAUCAAUAUUUCAAGCCAAAUUUAACUCUAGCUGAUUUUUUUAUUCCUUAUUUGUGUGUUUCAUCCUGUUUUGUCAACUCUUUACAACUUACCGUGAGCUAUUCGAUGAGCCCAAUAGAAGCCAAAAUCAAUGGCUAUGAAACAUAAAUACCAGGUCCAUAACGAGUCCCAUGGAAGUGUUGUUAUGCGGAACCUCUCAUAUACAAAACAAUACAUUAUAAUUUCAAUACUUCGGACUUUUAUUCUGUUGGCAAAUCAAAUUUUGGGAAAGAAAGAAAAUAGAAAAUGCUUAGGAGUUACACUGAAAGAAAUGCUCAUUUUUUGUUGAUGUUGGAAAUCAAUUUGGAGCCAGUUUAUUCGAAGGAUUUGACGUUAAUUUAACCAAAGAAUAAGGUGUUGAUGUUACAAUAGAUGUUGGAUUUGUUGUUAAUAUUAACUUGACCAAUUAGUUAAAGCCAGCAAUCAAACUGUUUACACCAUUAAACUGGACUAACUUGAACUAAUCAUACUGAAAACUUAAUCAGUCUUGAAAAAUAUUGACCUGGUUUGGGAAAUGAAAGCGAAAACAUGGCUUGAAUCAUCUAAAUCGAGAAAAAAUUAAUCAUCGUCUUAAUCAACUCUCUCCCAUUGGAUGGCUAUUAAGUCAAUUUUUUUCAAUACUAAUCAAUUAAUUUUUGAGGCCAACAGUUAUGGUGUUUCAGUAAAAGCAUUAGAAAUCGAUUUAAAUGGACUUAAAAAAUCAAACGCAAACAUUUAGGAUAAAAGUCAUAACCAAAUGAAUUGACAACAUGAAGCAGAUUUAAUCAACAAUUAGAUUGAGAUGUGAUAAACUGAAAUGGUGUUCAAAUCAGAAACAAUAGCUGGAUUACUUGGAAUGGACUGAAGAUGAGUUUCGCUGCUGUCAUGUUGAGACUAUCAGUAUUGAUUUAUCAAUUUUCAAUUGCUUAUUGAGAUACAUGAUUCCAACUAAUCAAAAAUAUUAACAAUAAACCGUCAUAAACAAAGUAAUGUAAAUGAAACUUUCAUUUAUUCCUGGUUUCAACUUUAAUUUGAAUAUAAUCUUGAUUCUCAAGCCGUUGACCUGAUUCUUCACUGUUAACCAUGUUUCCUCAAAUAUUAUAUCAUUCAUUUCAUCUUCUCCAUCAGCAUCUGAGGGACCGGUUAUUUUUACUCACCUCACUUUCUCACUUUCAUCAACAUCAACAUCAUCCACAUCGUUAUCAUUACCAUUCUUUGAUGUUUCGUCAUUUUUUUUGACCAUUUUACUGGACUCUCUUCAAAUUGAAUGCAGUUGUCUGAUUGUCCAGAA